UCACAGGCAGACAUUCACACAGACAAUCACAGGUAGACAAUCACAGGCAGUCACACACACACAAACACACACACAAUCAGUCAGAGAGUCACACACACAGAGUCACACAGACAGACAAUCACAGGCAGUCACACACACACAAACACACACACUAUCAGUCAGAGAGUCACACACACAGAAUCACACAGACAAUCACAGGCAGACAAUCACAGGCAGUCACACACACACAAUCA